AGAGUUUGAUCCUGGCUCAGGAUGAACGCUAGCGGCAGGCCUAACACAUGCAAGUCGAGGGGUAACAGAAAAAAGCUUGCUUUUUUGCUGACGACCGGCGAACGGGUGCGUAACACGUAUGUAACCUACCUAUAACUGGCGAAUAGCCUACUGAAAAGUGGAUUAAUACGCCAUAACAUAUAUUUAAGGCAUCUUUUAUAUAUUAAAGCUUUGGCGGUUAUAGACGGACAUGCGCAACAUUAGCUUGUUGGUGAGGUAAUAGCUCACCAAGGCAACGAUGUUUAGGGGGUCUUAGAGGAUGAUCCCCCACACUGGUACUGAGACACGGACCAGACUCCUACGGGAGGCAGCAGUGAGGAAUAUUGCGCAAUGGAGGAAACUCUGACGCAGCCAUGCCGCGUGCAGGAAGACAGUCUUAUGGAUUGUAAACUGCUUUUGUAUGCCAAGAAACCUUAGUACGUGUACUAAGCUGACGGUAGCAUACGAAUAAGGAUCGGCUAACUCCGUGCCAGCAGCCGCGGUAAUACGGAGGAUCCAAGCGUUAUCCGGAUUUAUUGGGUUUAAAGGGUCCGCAGGCGGAAAAUUAAGUCAGUGGUGAAAUCCUACAGCUUAACUGUAGAACUGCCAUUGAUACUGGUUUUCUUGAGUACAAAUGAGGUGAGUGGAAUGUGGCGUGUAGCGGUGAAAUGCAUAGAUAUGCCACAGAACACCAAUUGCGAAGGCAGCUCACUAAAAUGUAACUGACGCUGAGGGACGAAAGCGUGGGGAGCGAACGGGAUUAGAUACCCCGGUAGUCCACGCCGUAAACGAUGAUCACUCGAUGUUGGCGAUAUACUGUCAGUGUCUGAGCGAAAGCAUUAAGUGAUCCACCUGGGGAGUACGAUCGCAAGAUUGAAACUCAAAGGAAUUGACGGGGGCCGCACAAGCGGUGGAGCAUGUGGUUUAAUUCGAUGAUACGCGAGAACCUUACCUAGGCUUAAAUGUAGAUUGACGUAUGGGAAACCAGUAUUUCUUCGGACAUUUACAGUGCUGCAUGUGUCGUCAGCUCGUGCGUGGAGGUGUCGAUAAGUCCAAUACGAGCGCACCCUAUCAUAGUUGCUACUAGUUGAGGACUCUUAUGAAACUGCCCGGUAACGUGAGAUGUGGGAGUUACCGUCAAAUCUACGGCCCUUUAACGCCGCUUAG
rnacentral:rRNA from 1 species